rnacentral:rRNA from 1 species
GUAAAUAAUUAAGGGCGUAUGGUGGAUGCCUAGGCUCUCAGAGGCGAAGAAGGACGUGAUAAGCUGCGAAAAGCUCCGUUUAGGUGCAAAUAACCUUUGAUGCGGAGAUCUCCGAAUGGGAUAACCCAAUAUGUUGAAGACAUAUUAUACCGUAAGGUAGGCAAACGCAGGGAACUGAAACAUCUAAGUACCUGCAGGAGAAGAAAACAAACGUGAUUCCCCCAGUAGCGGCGAGCGACCGGGGAUAAGCCCAAACCGUUAUUGUUUCGGCAGUAGCGGGGUAGUAGGACUGCGACAUUGAUGAAAUAAAUGAAAUGGAACACUUUGGAAAAUGUGAUCACAGAGGGUGAUAAUCCCGUACAUGCAAGUUUAUGAAUCAUAGCAGACUCCUGAGUAAGUCGGGACACGUGUAAUCCUGACCGAAUCCGCCGGGACCAUCCGGCAAGGCUAAAUACUCCUGAGAGACCGAUAGUGAACCAGUACCGUGAGGGAAAGGUGAAAAGCACUUCGAACAGAAGAGUGAAAUAGUCCCUGAACCCAUACGCCUACAAGCAGUCGGAGCCGCUUCGUGCGGUGACGGCGUGCCUUUUGCAUAAUGAGCCUACGAGUUACUCAUCACCAGCGAGGUUAAGUACUUCAGGUACGUAAGCCGAAGCGAAAGCGAGUCUGAAUAGGGCGUCAAGUUGGUGGUGGUAGACGCGAAACCUUAGUGAUCUACCCAUGGGCAGGGUGAAGGUUUGGUAACACAAACUGGAGGCCCGAACCGGUAAACGUUGAAAAGUUUUCGGAUGACCUGUGGGUAGGGGUGAAAGGCCAAUCAAACUGGGAAAUAGCUCGUACUCUCCGAAAUGCAUUUAGGUGCAGCCUCUGUUGUUUUGUUCUAGAGGUAGAGCUACUGAUUGGAUGCGAGGGCUUCACCGCCUAUCAAAUCCGGCCAAACUCCGAAUGCUAGAACAUGAAGACAGGGAGUGAGCCAGCGGGUGCUAAGGUCCGUUGACGAAAGAGGGAGAACUCAGACCAUCAGCUAAGGUCCCCAAUUGUAUGCUAAGUUGGAAUUAAAACGGGGUGGGACUGCUUAGACAGCUAGGAUGUUGGCUUGGAAGCAGCCAUUCAUUUAAAGAGUGCGUAACAGCUCACUAGUCGAGCGGUCCUGCAUGGAUAAUACGCGGGCAUAAGCAUAUAACCGAAGCUAUGGGAUUGUAGAUGAUACAAUCGGUAGGAGAGCAUUCCAUUCAGCAUAGAAGCAGUAUCGUGAGGUAUUGUGGAGCGGAUGGAAAAGCAAAUGUAGGCAUAAGUAACGAUAAUGCGGGUGAGAACCCCGCACGCCGAAAGAUCAAGGAUUCCCCGGCAAUGUCAAUCAUCCGGGGGUAAGUCGGAUCCUAAGGGUAAGCCGAGUGGCGAUCCCGAUGGCAAACAGGUUAAUAUUCCUGUACUGAUCAUAACUGCGAUGCAGCGACGCAGAGGUGACACUGCUGCGUACUGACGGAAUAGUACGUUGAAACCCGUAUUCUUUGAUACCGGUAGUGAAGCACGCCGGUAGAGAUGAAAGGUGAUAGUACCGCAAUGCUUCGGUUGCGCGGAUAAUGCAGGUAAGCUGACUGCCAAGAAAACCUGCUAAGCUUCAGGUAAUGAUCAUCCGUACUGUAAACGGACACACGUGAUCAGGUAGAAAAUACUAAGGCGCUCGAGAGAUUCAUGGUUAAGGAACUAGGCAAAAUGGUCCUGUAACUUCGGGAUAAAGGACGCUCUUGUGAAAGAGCCGCAGAUAAUAGGCCCAGGCGACUGUUUACCAAAAACACAUGGCUAUGCUAAUUCGCAAGAAGAUGUAUAUGGCCUGACACCUGCCCGGUGCCGGAAGGUUAAGAGGAGAGCUCAGAGGCAACUCGAAGGUUUGAAUUGAAGCCCCGGUAAACGGCGGCCGUAACUAUAACGGUCCUAAGGUAGCGAAAUUCCUUGUCGGGUAAGUUC